rnacentral:rRNA from 1 species
AUUGAACGCUAGCGGCAUGCCUUACACAUGCAAGUCGAACGGCAGGCACGGGGGCAACCCUGGUGGCGAGUGGCGAACGGGUGAGUAAUGCAUCGGAACGUGCCCAUCGAUGGGGGAUAACUGCGCGAAAGCGUUGCUAAUACCGCAUACGACCUACGGGUGAAAGCAGGGGACCGCAAGGCCUUGCGUCGAUGGAGCGGCCGAUGCCGGAUUAGCUAGUUGGUGAGGUAAAGGCUCACCAAGGCGACGAUCCGUAGCUGGUCUGAGAGGACGACCCAGCCACACUGGGACUGAGACACGGCCCAGACUCCUACGGGAGGCAGCAGUGGGGAAUCUUGGACAAUGGGCGAAAGCCUGAUCCAGCAAUGCCGCGUGUGGGAAGAAGGCCUUCGGGUUGUAAACCACUUUUGGCGGGAAAGAAAUGGUCUGUGCUAAUACCACGGAUUGAUGACGGUACCCGCAGAAUAAGCACCGGCUAACUACGUG